rnacentral:rRNA from 1 species
UGCCAGCAGUCGCGGUUAGACCGAGAAAUUAAGUCAUAUAAGAAUGGUAAAAAGACAGUUAGACGUAAAUUGAUUUGAAGUUUUAUCUGAUUUUCUUAUAGAAAAGUAAAAUUUAUAUAUAAGAAUAUAAUUUAAUUGAAAACUAUGAAGUUGAAUCUGUGAUGCCCUGGAGGGAAACUGGGAUUAGAUACCCCAUUAUUCCUGGAUGUAAACUAAACUUAAAUUUACCAGAGUACUAUGAAUAACAUAAAAUUUAAAACUCAAAGGACUUGGCGGUAUUUUAGACCAUUUAGGGGAACCUGUCUCGUAAUCGAUAGUCCACGUUGUACCUAACCUUUUUUUGCUUUCAGCUUGUAUAUCGUUGUCGUCAGGUAACUUUUUAGAAACUAGAAGUUAGCUAAAAAUAGUGAAUUUAAACGUCAAAUCAAGGUGCAGUUAAUAAAAAGGGGAAGAUGGGUUACAAUUAUUUCAAUUAUAACUACGGAAAAUCACAGAAAUUGGUGAUUCAAAGGAGGACUUAAAAGUAAAUUAGAAUACAUAAAUAAUUUGAAUAAGGCUCUGAGAUGUGCACACAUCGCCCGCCACUCU